rnacentral:sRNA from 1 species
GCAGCCAAGGGUGGAUGGUCCAGGGAUGGAGCUGCCAAGGUGGGUGGCCUAGAGAGGGAGAAGGAGGGUAGGAAAGAGCCGGAGGGAGAAAGCCUUGUGUGGGGAGGGAAGGCUGGCUGGACAGAGGCUCAGGGGACUGAGGUGGUGACUCUUGGCAGGUUCUGGACCACAGCAAGCGGUGGUGGCUGGUGAAGAAUGAGACGGGACAGAGCGGCUACAUUCCAAGCAACAUCCUGGAGCCCCUACAGCCGGGGACCCCUGGGACCCAGGGCCAGUCACCCUCUCGGGUUCCAAUGCUUCGACUUAGCUCGAGGCCUGAAGAGGUCACAGACUGGCUGCAGGCAGAGAACU